ACACCAAUGGUGAAGCGGUUAUCAUGCUUGCCUUCCAUGUUUGGUAGCAAGCGGUAGGGGUUCGACUCCCCUUUGGUGUA